rnacentral:misc_RNA from 1 species
UACAUAAUGAGCUUUGGUAACAGAUGGUCAGCAACAGUAGAAAAACUGUUGCCGAUGAUUAAACCUCUACUAGAACUGCUGCAAUUCUACCAAAAAAUUUGCAGUAGAUUGGCAAAACUGCUGCAUUAAACAAGAAAUGGCUGCAGUUUAAAAGUUUUACUUAAUCCAAUGGUGCCCUUGUUUAAGAAUGUGCAAAAUCCCCCUCCUUUUUAUCAGUUUGGCGCUUGAGAGCUCUUACUCUCUCUCUCUUUCUGGUUCUCUCUAAUAUCUCAUGUAAAACCCUUCACUCUCACUUACCUGUCCUUCUUUCUCACUUUAGCUCUCCCUCUCAAUCUCUCUCAAAUUGUAAUCGGCGAGUAUGUUCGGGCAAAUCUGCUUUCAUGUCUGCAUUUUCACAGAGAUUUUGUGCAACAAUGUCCACUCCCUCCCAUAUCUUUACCUUUACUCCGUCUCAUAACAAACCUAGCAGUUCUAGGCUACAGAUGCACCAGUUCACAUUCGUUGAUAGCGCAUCAUGCCAUCGCCGAUUGCCUCUUGUCCGCUUUGCCACCAUCGCCACCUCUCACCAUGGGAUUUCUUUCGUCGCUAUCACCAGAGUUUCUAGAACUACUUGCAUGGGUAAUUUCUUGGAAUCGACUUUUUCUUAUGUUGGAAUUUGAUUGGAUCUUAGAGUUACAGAUUUUUAUUUGUUGAUGUGGCCCUGAUUGGUUUUAAAUUGUUGACUUAAUUUGGUGUUAAGCUGUAAAUUUUAGAUUUCUGGUAUUAAAAUGUUAAUAAACAGAGGGAGAUUGAGGAAAUUGAAUGUGUCUUGGGUUGUUAGUUGAAGCUCUAUCAUCGUUACCAGAGAUUUGGUUUCGCUGAAAGCUGAAUUAUAACUAGCAACCAAACAUGGUGUAACACACUUAAUAUUCAAAUUUUGAUGGUGUUGUAGAGAUUUCUUCGAAUUUGCAUUCAUAUGAACGGGAGAUCACAACUUUGAUAGAGAACCCUCGAGUUGGAGUUGAAUUUGAAGUGAAUAUUAUCAUACGUUUGUAGGAAAUAUAUGACGUCAAUGUUUGGGUCGAAACAGAGUCUCAUUUGAAGGAGGUAGCUGAUGCAUUGAGUAAAGAGAGGGUUUUUGCUGUUGGUACUGAGCAGCAUAGUUUCAUUUGUAUGGUGAGGACCGUGAGGUUUGAUGUGGGUAACUUGUUCCCACUCUAUUAUUACUGCUCUUUCCAAAUUCUGUUCAAUUUUUCUGUUUUUAUAGUGUGAAGCUUUAAUCUGAUUAGGUUUCAUGUCCAUUAGAUCAUAAGCCCGAGGAGAAAAUUACAGGAAAUGCAUUA